rnacentral:rRNA from 1 species
UACGGAGGGAGCUAGCGUUGUUCGGAAUUACUGGGCGUAAAGCGCACGUAGGCGGCUAUUCAAGUCAGGGGUGAAAGCCCGGGGCUCAACCCCGGAACUGCCUUUGAAACUAGGUAGCUAGAAUCUUGGAGAGGUCAGUGGAAUUCCGAGUGUAGAGGUGAAAUUCGUAGAUAUUCGGAAGAACACCAGUGGCGAAGGCGACUGACUGGACAAGUAUUGACGCUGAGGUGCGAAAGCGUGGGGAGCAAACA